rnacentral:sRNA from 19 species
UCAGCCCUUCGUUCAGCGAACGCCCAAGUUCCACUUGGGACACUUAUGUAGCUGGCGCGGGGCUUU